UGACUGUGCAAAGGUAGCAUAAUCAGUUGGCUUAUAAUUGAAGUCUAGUAUGAAUGGGAACACGGGAAUAUUCUGUCUUUAAUAUAUAAAAGAAAUUACUAAUUAAGUGAAAAUUCUUAAAAGUAAGAAAAUAGACGAGAAGACCCUAGAAAUUUUUUUUAAUUUGAUUUUGUUGGGGCGACAGGGUAACAAAAAACUUACCUAAAGUAAUAGGAAAUUUUUUAGUGGUGUAAUUAAAUUACUCUAGGGAUAACAGCAUAAUAUUUUAAAGGUUGUGACCUCGAUGUUGGACUAGGAAAUACACUACUUAAAAGGUAGUGUUUAUGGUUCUGUUCGAACUUUUACUCCUACAU
rnacentral:rRNA from 1 species